UGAGGAAUCUUCCACAAUGGGCGAAAGCCUGAUGGAGCAACGCCGCGUGCAGGAUGAAGGCCUUCGGGUUGUAAACUGCUUUUUUCUGUGAUGAAUAUGACAGUAACAGACGAAUAAGGAUCGGCUAACUACGUGCCAGCAGCCGCGGUCAUACGUAGGAUCCGAGCGUUAUCCGGAGUGACUGGGCGUAAAGAGUUGCGUAGGUGGUUUGUUAAGUAGGUAGUGAAAUCUGACGGCUCAACCGUUCAGGCUAUUACCUAAACUGGCAAACUCGAGAAUGGUAGAGGUAACUGGAAUUUCUAGUGUAGGAGUGGAAUCCGUAGAUAUUAGAAGGAACACCAAUGGCGUAGGCAGGUUACUGGACCAUUUCUGACACUGAGGCACGAAAGCGUGGGGAGCG
rnacentral:rRNA from 1 species